rnacentral:lncRNA from 12 species
UACAAGGCCUUUAAUCUUCCUGAGGACUUGUUUCUGUCAUUAAUGCGUGAUCCCUAUUAGAGAUAGGGGUCUGCUGGGUUAAUGGGAGCCGCCAGCGGAGGCCUUUGGAAACUUUUUUGCUUUUGAAAACACUUAAGAGUUAUCCAGGGCAAAUCCAGGUUGAGGCCGGGAGACCCUCUGGGAUCCUCUCAGCCCUCAGAUGGUGUUCUUUGGGCUGUCUGUACUUGGGGGGGGGGGGUGGACCCUGAGAUGAGCGACAGGAGCCUCUGCCAGCCAGCACCUGUUGUCGCAGCCCUAGGAGCUGAGGGGCAGAUGAGCUGCUUGCAUAAUCACCACGCCAGAUGACUUUUCUGAAGAGAGAAGUCCGCACAAAGAGCAUCAUCAGCCAACUACAGAUCCUGAGUGUGCAUUCAUGAGCUUCUGUACUGAGCCCCAUGUCUCAGCAGCUCACACCACCACCUUAGGGGACUUGGAGGUGACCUGGCUAUUAGCGAUGAAGGCCACGUAACUACAAGAAUCAAGAAGCAGGAUUUCAAACCAUGUCAUCCAUAGAACGUGGCCUUCUACCCCCGAGGUCCACAACCAAAACUUUCCUCUUUGCUUGAAACCACAGUUUGCUCCUGAAAGUGGGUAGUUCUAGCCAUAGGCUCCAAUGAAACUUAAUGAACCUGGACAUGGUCCAGAGAAGAGGAAUUAAAACACUCUAGGGGAAGGAAAGGCUUCUGUUUAAGGACAGACUUAAAAAUAUAACAAAACAAACCCAGAGUAAAGUCUGGAAGGAGGAAGGAUGAGCAGAGACACUGUGGAAGUCUAUGGGAUAGUGGAGGGAGGAGGCAGCUGUGCCUGCCAAGGGGCACUCACUGAAGCUUAGAAGCAGCAGCUUUAGGACAAUGACAAGAAAGUUCUAUUUAACACGUUCCAUAAGUUUGCUGCCUGCUGUGUGAUCCCAGUAGGUGGCAAAGGCUGAAAAUAUAAAUAGAUUCCUGGCCUAUGGAUGUUUUGCUGUGAGCUCCCUACAGAAUCCCUGGUUUCUCAUUGUCUAAUUCAACCUACC